GACGAACGCUGGCGGCGUGCUUAGCACAUGCAAGUCGAGCGGUAAGGCCCUUUCGGGGGUACACGAGCGGCGAACGGGUGAGUAACACGUGGGUGACCUGCCCUCAGCUCUGGGAUAAGCCCGGGAAACUGGGUCUAAUACUGGAUAUGACUCCAUGACGCAUGUUGUGGGGUGGAAAGCCUUGUGCGGCUGAGGAUGGGCCCGCGGCCUAUCAGCUUGUUGGGGGGUGAUGGCCUACCAAGGCGACGACGGGUAGCCGGCCUGAGAGGGCGACCGGCCACACUGGGACUGAGACACGGCCCAGACUCCUACGGGAGGCAGCAGUGGGGAAUCUUGCGCAAUGGGCGAAAGCCUGACGCAGCGACGCCGCGUGAGGGAUGACGGCCU
rnacentral:rRNA from 1 species